GACCGCAUGGCCUAAUGGAUAUAGCGUCUGACUUCGAAUCAGAAGAUUGAGGGUUCGAGUCCCUCUGUGGUCU
rnacentral:tRNA from 1 species